GACGAACGCUGGCGGCGUGCUUAACACAUGCAAGUCGAACGGAAAGGCCCUGCUUGCAGGGUACUCGAGUGGCGAACGGGUGAGUAACACGUGGGUGAUCUGCCCUGCACUUCGGGAUAAGCCUGGGAAACUGGGUCUAAUACCGGAUAGGAGCCAUUUUUAGUGUGAUGGUUGGAAAGUUUUUUUCGGUGUAGGAUGAGCUCGCGGCCUAUCAGCUUGUUGGUGGGGUAAUGGCCUACCAAGGCGGCGACGGGUAGCCGGCCUGAGAGGGUGGACGGCCACAUUGGGACUGAGAUACGUCCCAGACUCCUACGGGAGGCAGCAGUGGGGAAUAUUGCACAAUGGGCGCAAGCCUGAUGCAGCGACGCCGCGUGGGGGAUGACGGCCUUCGGGUUGUAAACUCCUUUCGCUAGGGACGAAGCUUUUUGUGACGGUACCUAGAUAAGAAGCACCGGCUAACUACGUG
rnacentral:rRNA from 1 species